rnacentral:rRNA from 1 species
CACCAGCCCCUCGAGUGGUGGGGAUGAUUAUUUGGCCUAAAGCGUCCGUAGCCGGCCGGGUAAGUUUCCCGUUAAAUCCAAUGUCUCAAGCAUUGGACUGCGGGAAAUACUGCCUGGCUAGAGAGUGGGAGAGGUGUACGGUAUUCUGGGGGUAGGGGCGAAAUCCUUUGAUCCCCGGAGGACCACCAGUGGCGAAGGCUGUACACUAGAACACGUCUGACGGUCAGGGACGAAAGCUGGGGUAGCGAACCGGAUUAGAUACCCGGGUAGUCCCAGCUGUAAACGAUGCAUGCUAGGUGUUGGGUUGGCCACGAGCCACCCCAGUGCCGCAGGGAAGCCGUUAAGCAUGCCGCCUGGGAAGUACGAUCGCAAGAUUGAAACUUAAAGGAAUUGGCGGGGAGCACCACCAGGCGUGAAGCCUGCGGUUU